UUCUACAUUCCGAAUGUCUCCUUGGAUAUUUUUAGAUUUAUCUAAGUUGUUUAAUGGGAUAUUAUAAGAUUAAAGGCGAGGCUGUAAAUCUAAUUUGUGAAGAUAUAUUCUAUCAUGUAACCUUAAACCAUCCAGUCCAACAUAAUUUUGAUUUUGAGUGUCACAAAUUUUAACUUUUCACCCUAUUUGGGGUCUGUUGGCAUUUUUCUUUUUUACAGAACUAUUAUUAACUAGCAAAAUAAACAUAUAAUUUUAACUAAACGUCCCACCCUUUGAACUUUAAACACUUUCUUUAUUAAACAGAUAAUCAUAAAAAAUAUAAAAUUGAAAAUGGGUAUUGCAGUUGUUUUUGCAACCCACUAUUGAAAUAAUUAAUUAAAUUGUAUAUUAAAUAUUUUAUUUUCCAAGGUACAUUAAUAAAAUACUAAGUUAACUCAACCUUACAAAAAUGACAAUGAAAAAGGAACUAUGAGCUAUUUUUUACUUUUCCUCAUUUACUUCAUCCAAACAGAAAUUGUAUAAAUGUAGUGGGUUUUCAGAUGAUAACAUGUUAUCAACGAAUAAUUGGCAUCACCUUGAUAAAGGUUUGCAAAUAUUUACAUGAACCAAACAGUGCGAACACUAAUAAUAAUUGUAUCACAUGUGAGAAUAUUUCCGCAUCAGUUCUGUAUUUUUGUUGAACAUCUGAAGUAUUUUCUGUGCCAACAAGUAGUGUUUUCACGACAAUAUUUGUUGCUAUGGCAAUAAGUUAGAUUGCUCGGAAAAUUACCACACACAUGGAUAACAUUUGAUUUCUUAGACAAUGAGAUCAAUGGAAACCAUACAAUACUAAUGUUAAGUAACCCAAUGUACUGUAAGAUAAACCAAAAACAACAACGAUGAAGUAUAUGUGUGCUCUAGUAGUCAUCACUGCUUUGGUAACAAUGGCUAUGGUUGGAAUUCAAGCCAGCGUGAACUACGUGUGUUCUCCUGCUGGAAAGUCGUGUGAGAUUCUGAUAUGUUGCCCCGGAACGAGCUGUUCACCUGCAAAUGUUUGCGUAUCCCACUGCAGUGAUGGAAACAUGGCUUAGUACUUUCUCAUCAGACACUGCUGCAAAUGUUUUUGCAAUAAAAAUGUGUUGUUGAUAAUAAAAAGCUUGCAUUACUAAUUUUAAA